AAAAAUAUAUGUGUCCUGCUAAUGUUUUGAGCAAUGUGGAACAUCUAUGACUGUCAGCAUCUCAAAAAAUCGGUUUUGGUGUUUUGUGACCUUUAAGCCUUCUGCCUCUCAGAAUUUACUUUAUAGAAAGUAAACAUUAUAAAUCACUUGUUUAUCUUUUUGUAGUUUCAUUGUCUUUUUGUAGUUACAGACCUCAUAUGCAGAGUAUUUGCAGCAAUUUACAUAGGAAAAAUCACACUGUACUAAGGAAUUUCAGCUGAAUAAUGUUUUCCUGCUCACCAGGUGACUGUUGUCCUACUCCUCUGUCUCUGGUGAAUGAGGCUCAGUUUCUGCUUAUUAACAGAGCCAGUGUGUGUUUUCUACAAGAAGCCAUUGCCAACAGACAUGACAGUGAUAAUGAAGAGACUUGGAGAGACACAGAGCAGCUUGUUCAGCGUUUCAGGGCCAAUCUUGUCAUCUCUGCACAGGAACCAUUUGCAGAGGAUAACUGGUCUCACCUUACAAUAGGAAACACACAGUUUCAGGUGAUUGGGAAAUGUGGCCGCUGUCAGAUGAUUGGAGUUGAUCAAAAAACAGCCACUAGGACCCAAGAACCCCUUAGGUCUCUUUCUGAAUGCAGAAGUGGAAAGGUGACUUUUGGAGUUUACUUGGCUCACCAAUCAGCAAGGAACUCCACUCACCCUGUUUUAUCUAUAGGCAGUCAUGUUAUUCCAAAGAUAUCUGAUUCGACAGAUAAAUUUUAGAGUUUUUUUUUUGUUUUGUUAGUUUCAUAUCUAAUCGGUGCUUACAGCCUCAUUUUAUAUAUUUUUAAUAAGAGUAUUUUGUUAUAUGUUUGCAUAUCAUUUGCUAUUUAAAAAAAAAACUUUAAACAUUUAACAUGAAUAAUGACUUGCAUAUAAUAGUUGUGAAUUUUAAAAAGGUGUAAUAUAAAUAAACAAAUUCCCAUUAUAACAGUUUAAAACUUUGAUCAUUAAAGUUCCAUAACUGCUGUGAUUAUUAGCUUGAGGAAAUGCGGAAAGUUUCCUGCGCAGAACAUUUCCUCAGUGAUUAUCAUGCAGUCUCCUUGCAGAGGAUGAUUACAUAUUUAGAACAAAUGCAUGUGGGUUUUGUCUAGUUU
ensembl:processed_transcript mocos molybdenum cofactor sulfurase